rnacentral:rRNA from 1 species
GGGGAAUAUUGGACAAUGGGCGCAAGCCUGAUCCAGCCAUGCCGCGUGAGUGAUGAAGGCCUUAGGGUUGUAAAGCUCUUUCGCCGGUGAAGAUAAUGACGGUAACCGGAGAAGAAGCCCCGGCUAACUUCGUGCCAGCAGCCGCGGUAAUACGAAGGGGGCUAGCGUUGCUCGGAAUUACUGGGCGUAAAGCGCACGUAGGCGGUUUCUUAAGUCGGGGGUGAAAUCCUGGAGCUCAACUCCAGAACUGCCUUCGAUACUGGGAAAUCUGAGUUCGGGAGAGGUGAGUGGAACUGCGAGUGUAGAGGUGAAAUUCGUAGAUAUGCGAAAGAACACCAGUGGCGAAGGCGGCUGACUGGCCGGAUACUGACGCUGAGGUGCGAAAGCGUGGGGGGCAAACA